rnacentral:lncRNA from 10 species
UUUUGGCCUCCACCAUGGGUUCUCACAGAGGGUGAUGAUUUUGCCCUUCAGAGGAUAUUUUGAAAUAUCUUAAGACAUUUUUGGUCUUUACAACUGGAAGGCAGUUGGCUACUGGCAGGUGGUGUGUAGAGGCCCUGGAUGCCACAAGACAGCCCUCUGCAACCAAAAAUUAUCCAGCCCCCAAAAAUGCCAAUAGUGCUAAGGUUGAGGAUCCUGAACAAGAGAAAUAUGGAGACAGAAAUUAAGAAAAGAGAAAUUGGAAAACUCAAGAGGGUGUAGGCAAAACUGCUUCAAAAGUACGUUCACUGAUUGGGGUGAUACCACUUAUGCCUCAGACACACUCAGGCUGAAUUGCUUCAAAUUGAUUUCAAGCACAGAGUAAAUAAAGCAAGCUUCUUGUUUCAAGUGAGCAGUUCGAUUUAAAAGGGAAAACAAAAUAACAACCAGUGAGUCAGUAUAUUACUCUCUUCACUGUUCUAGAAUUAGGUUCACUUCUGACUACGAUGGGCCAUGUCCAGCUGCAUCCUGAAGGCUGGUAGAUUGAAUUCUUACAAUUAUUCAUCUGCUUCAGUGCCUCUCCUGAAUGAAGGUCAUCUAGAACUGCAUUUAAAAUGGGUGGAUCACGAGGUCAGGAGAUCGAGAACAUCCUGGCUAACAAGGUGAAACCCCAUCUCUACUAAAAAUAAAAAAAUUAGCCGGGCGUGGUGGCGGGCGCCUGUAGUCCCAGCUACUUGGGAGGCUGAGGCAGGAGAAUGGCGUGAACCCGGGAGGCGGAGCUUACAGUGAGCCGAGAUUGCACCACUGCGCUCCAGCCUGGGCAACAGAGUGAGACUCUGUCUCAAAAAAAAAAAAAAAAAAAAAAAUAUAUAUAUAUAUAUAUAUAUCUCCCCAGAGAGGAGAAAAAGGAAUAAUCUUUUUUUUUUUUUUUUCUUUUUGAGACAAACUCUCACUCUAUCGCCCAGGCUGGAGUGCAGUGGUGAGAUCUCGGCUCACUGCAACCUCCGCCUCCUGGGUUCAAGUGAUUCUCCUGCCUCAGCCUCCCAAGUAGCAGGGACUACAGGAACACACCACCAUGCCCGGCUAGUUUUGUAUUUUUGGUGGACACAGGUUUUCACCAUUUUGGCCAGGCUGAUCUCAAACUCCUGACCUCAAGUGAUCCACCCGCCUCGGCCUCCCAAAGUGCUGGGAUUACAGGUGUGAGCCACUGCGCCUGGCCAGUGAUCUUAAAUGAAUAGAACCAGACUUCAUGGUAACUGCCAAGACACCACCCCCCUAACUCCACACAGAAUUCAAAUUCUUCUUGAAGUAGAAUUUUAGUUACUGCAG